rnacentral:rRNA from 1 species
UACGUAGGGAGCUAGCGUUGUCCGGAUUUAUUGGGCGUAAAGAGCGUGUAGGCGGUCAGGUAGGUCGGUUGUGAAAACUGGAGGCUCAACCUUCAGAGGUCGACCGAAACCCCCUGGCUAGAGUCCGGGAGAGGAGAGUGGAAUUCCUGGUGUAGCGGUGAAAUGCGCAGAUAUCAGGAAGAACACCCGUGGCGAAAGCGGCUCUCUGGAACGGUACUGACGCUGAGACGCGAAAGCGUGGGGAGCGAACAGG